AUGCAUGCAGGAGGUUGUCUGCGGGUGCUCGAUCAAUGUCGAGCAAUGGAGAUUGUGAUCAGGAAUGUGCUACCGACAACCACGCAUCGCUGGUGCAAGUGGCAUGUGCUGAAGAAGUGCAAGGAGACACUGGGUCCAAUGUACACGAAACAGAGUGACUUCCGAGCAGAGUUUCACAAGGUUGUCAUCCACAUGUUGACAAUUAACGAGUUCGAGGACGCUUGGAAAAUGCUAAUAGAGAAAUACAGUUUACAGAGUCACACAUAUAUGACCCAAGUCUAUGAGAUAAGGGAGAAAUGGGCUAAGCCUUAUUUUCAGGGGGUAUUUUGUGCGAAAAUGACUAGCACGGAGAGGAGUGAAAGUGCCAACAGUAUGCUGAAAACAUAUGUGCUGCCAGGGUGUCCAAUGCACAUGUUUGUGAAACACUAUAUGCGUCUCCAGUCCGCGAGGGACGCAGAGGAGAGUUAUGAGGAAAAGCGUAAUAAAGUGGCCGGAGUUGUGUUCAAGUGCAAUAUGUCAACAGAGAGACAUGGCAGCAAGGUGUACACAUGUGCAAUGAUCGAGCAGCUAGGUGAGCUGCUCUACCAAGCUAACGCAUAUCGAAUUGAAGAGUUGGAUAAGGGUAGAUUGUACAGAGCCACACACACGCAGGCUGAGAUGCGCGAGAAGUGGGCAAGGGGAGUUUACGAAGUGAAGAUGCUGGAUGAUGGUCGUUUAUUUGAGUGUGAAUGUGGUCUGUUUGAACACAUGGGCAUGCCGUGCUGCCACAUGCUAAAGGUUAUGGAUGUUCUUGGUUACACUGAGAUCCCGGAGAAGUUGAUAUUGAAGAGGUGGACAAGGGAUGCAAGGGAUGUUCUUCUGUCUCAUUUGCAAGUCUACCAAAGAGGCCAUGCAAGCAGUAGGAUAAUGACACACCGGCACACAAGUCUAUACAUGCACGCAAUGGAGUUGGUCCGUCUGGGCGAUGCAUCCGUAGAAGCCUAUGAGAAAGGGAUGAGAAUCAUUAGGGAUGGUAUUACUGCUCUUACUGGCUAUGAAUCCCAGAGGGACGGGCUAGCUUUGGAGGACAGGCCUGAAGCUCACCGUGGUGCCGGAGAAAAAUGCGAUGAUGGUGGACUUGUUGCACCCGUAGAAAGGCAGCAGAUGGAUGUUGAUACUUUCGCUGGCCUAGAUGCUCCGGAGAAGAGAAAGAAGCAAGGGCGCCCAACAAGCAGCCGCGAGAAGGCUCCGUAUGAACAGUUGAGUAAGAGGACAAGGUUCUGCCGCAUAUGUAGAGGGAGUGGGCACAAGAAAACGACAUGCCCGGAGCGCGGUGAUCACCCGAAGAAUCCCAGGAAGCAGGCAAAAUGCAGCAACUGUGGUGUAGAAGGACACAAGCAUAACACCUGCACGAAUGCAUUUGCUGUUAAGUUGCAUGCGGGUGGUGUUUAA
rnacentral:rRNA from 1 species